rnacentral:sRNA from 1 species
UUGAGCGCUCCAAAGACAGCAGGUGGCUUCGGCCGUAAAUCCUGCCGAGGACAUCAACAACAUCUCUAUGAAAUUGAUUGUUUUUGUGCCCUUUCGUCUUUUGGCGGAAGGGUUUUCUUUAU